UUUCGUUCCUUUUCAUUCCAGAACCGCCGGUUCAUCGUUUCGUAAAUUCGUAGAGUGGUCGAAGCGCACAUUUUGAAAAGUCGCAGUGGGACGAGGAGGAAGAAAAUUAGAAAACGCGUCUUUUACGCAUUGAGGAGAGCGCGCGGACGGAUGCGGAUGUCAGACGGCCCGGAGAGCACCAUCUUCACUGUGUUACCUGGAAAUGUUUCACCCUGCUUUUUUUGCCGUGUUUCUGUCUCGCGGAAUACGCGGAACACGCCUGUCCUACCUGGCAGCGCGCAGAUGCCCUCCGGUCCAGGCACGCGGUGAGCCCCGAAGGUCUCCAGAUGUCUCCAGGUGCCCUCUCACCUCCUUCGGUUUAUAAUCACGUUGUGCACGUGAUGUCCCGACACCGUAACAACGUACUAAGCUCAGAUGAAGCAAGUACAAAGAAAAAAAACAUUUUCCAUACUGCCCAAAUUUUUUUGGAACUGGGGUUUGAACGUAAAGCAAGCGCUCCGAGGUCUUACUCAUCCACAGAGGGCCUUUGGAAAUGUAGACAGUGUAUGACUGAGAGGAGAUCAGGCUGAGGAAGCUGGAGAAAAGGCAGAAGAUCAGACUUGACACCAGGGUCUGGAACGAAGCCCAGCACUCGGAACUGUAAAGGUGACAGUCGGUGUUAAACGUAGCCCUGACUGAGGUUUCUUCUGGCAGCAGAUUUGAUUUACAGAGCAGUUUCCUUUUACCACAGUAAACCUCAAGGUAGUU